rnacentral:rRNA from 1 species
UUGAACGCUGGCGGCAGGCCUAACACAUGCAAGUCGAACGGUAACAGGAAGCAGCUUGCUGCUUUGCUGACGAGUGGCGGACGGGUGAGUAAUGUCUGGGAAACUGCCUGAUGGAGGGGGAUAACUACUGGAAACGGUAGCUAAUACCGCAUAACGUCGCAAGACCAAAGAGGGGGACCUUAGGGCCUCUUGCCAUCGGAUGUGCCCAGAUGGGAUUAGCUAGUAGGUGGGGUAACGGCUCACCUAGGCGACGAUCCCUAGCUGGUCUGAGAGGAUGACCAGCCACACUGGAACUGAGACACGGUCCAGACUCCUACGGGAGGCAGCAGUGGGGAAUAUUGCACAAUGGGCGCAAGCCUGAUGCAGCCAUGCCGCGUGUAUGAAGAAGGCCUUCGGGUUGUAAAGUACUUUCAGCGGGGAGGAAGGGAGUAAAGUUAAUACCUUUGCUCAUUGACGUUACCCGCAGAAGAAGCACCGGCUAACUCCGUGCCAGCAGCCGCGGUAAUACGGAGGGUGCAAGCGUUAAUCGGAAUUACUGGGCGUAAAGCGCACGCAGGCGGUUUGUUAAGUCAGAUGUGAAAUCCCCGGGCUCAACCUGGGAACUGCAUCUGAUACUGGCAAGCUUGAGUCUCGUAGAGGGGGGUAGAAUUCCAGGUGUAGCGGUGAAAUGCGUAGAGAUCUGGAGGAAUACCGGUGGCGAAGGCGGCCCCCUGGACGAAGACUGACGCUCAGGUGCGAAAGCGUGGGGAGCAAACAGGAUUAGAUACCCUGGUAGUCCACGCCGUAAACGAUGUCGACUUGGAGGUUGUGCCCUUGAGGCGUGGCUUCCGGAGCUAACGCGUUAAGUCGACCGCCUGGGGAGUACGGCCGCAAGGUUAAAACUCAAAUGAAUUGACGGGGGCCCGCACAAGCGGUGGAGCAUGUGGUUUAAUUCGAUGCAACGCGAAGAACCUUACCUGGUCUUGACAUCCACGGAAGUUUUCAGAGAUGAGAAUGUGCCUUCGGGAACCGUGAGACAGGUGCUGCAUGGCUGUCGUCAGCUCGUGUUGUGAAAUGUUGGGUUAAGUCCCGCAACGAGCGCAACCCUUAUCCUUUGUUGCCAGCGGUCCGGCCGGGAACUCAAAGGAGACUGCCAGUGAUAAACUGGAGGAAGGUGGGGAUGACGUCAAAUCAUCAUGCCCUUUAUGACCUGGGCUACACACGUGCUACAAUGGCGCAUACAAAGAGAAGCGACCUCGCGAGAGCAAGCGGACCUCAUAAAGUGCGUCGUAGUCCGGAUUGGAGUCUGCAACUCGACUCCAUGAAGUCGGAAUCGCUAGUAAUCGUGGAUCAGAAUGCCACGGUGAAUACGUUCCCGGGCCUUGUACACACCGCCCGUCACACCAUGGGAGUGGGUUGCAAAAGAAGUAGGUAGCUUAACCUUCGGGAGGGCGCUUACCACUUUGUGAUUCAUGACUGGGGUG